AGCUCCAAUAGCGUAUAUUAAAGUUGUUGCAGUUAAAAAGCUCGUAGUUGGAUUUCUGGCAGGGGGUGAGAGCCCGCACGCAGCGUGUGCUCGCCUCCCCCUACCAUCCUUCUGUUAAACCGUCGGGUCUUCACCGGCUCGGCGGCGGCUCAGAUAAUUUACCUUGAGAAAAUUAGAGUGUUUCAGGCAGGCCGACGCCGGGAUACAUUAGCAUGGAAUAAUGGAAUAGGACUGUCGCCUCUUCUGUUGGUCUGAGGGGUGGCCGUAAUGAUUAAUAGGGAUAGUUGGGGGCAUUAGUACUUAACUGUCAGAGGUGAAAUUCUCGGAUUUGUUAAAGACUAACUUAUGCGAAAGCAUUUGCCAAGGAUGUUUUCA
rnacentral:rRNA from 1 species